rnacentral:rRNA from 1 species
UACGAAGGGGCUAGCGUUGUUCGGAAUCACUGGGCGUAAAGGGCGCGUAGGCGGCCGAUCAAGUCGGGGGUGAAAGCCUGUGGCUCAACCACAGAAUUGCCCUCGAUACUGUUUGGCUUGAGACCGGAAGAGGUUAGUGGAACUGCGAGUGUAGAGGUGAAAUUCGCAGAUAUUCGCAAGAACACCAGUGGCGAAGGCGGCUGACUGGUCCGGUUCUGACGCUGAGGCGCGAAAGCGUGGGGAGCAAACAGGG